GAUAUGAGUGAUGCUUAUGAAUGUUUUGCUAUGCAUGAAGGGAUCCAUGCUUUUGAUAAGUGAACCAUGUUGGUUGUAACACUUAGUAUCACAUACUUUGUGUCAAAGUACACAUGUUGAAGCUCUGAGUUGGAGUAUAAGGGUAGGUCAGCGUAAACCAAGUGUUCCAGUGCUAGGAACGCAAAAGACUCAGAAGAAGUUGUCUGAAUUCCCUAUUCUUUAAAUAUUUGCCAAAUGGCUUGUGUGACAAAAGAUCUCAAGCGAUUGAGAGUCAAAACAUUUGUAAUGUGUAUGCCUUCUUAUAAUAGCAUUUCCUUCAGUAUCUAGUCCUCCACUUUAAAAGAGUGAGGCUUGGCCCCAUAGUCAUAAUAGU
rnacentral:lncRNA from 1 species